GAACGCGAAGAACCUUACCAGGUCUUGACAUCCCGAUGCUAUUUCUAGAGAUAGAAAGUUACUUCGGUACAUCGGUGACAGGUGGUGCAUGGUUGUCGUCAGCUCGUGUCGUGAGAUGUUGGGUUAAGUCCCGCAACGAGCGCAACCCCUAUUGUUAGUUGCCAUCAUUCAGUUGGGCACUCUAGCGAGACUGCCGGUAAUAAACCGGAGGAAGGUGGGGAUGACGUCAAAUCAUCAUGCCCCUUAUGACCUGGGCUACACACGUGCUACAAUGGUUGGUACAACGAGUUGCGAGUCGGUGACGGCAAGCUAAUCUCUUAAAGCCAAUCUCAGUUCGGAUUGUAGGCUGCAACUCGCCUACAUGAAGUCGGAAUCGCUAGUAAUCGCGGAUCAGCACGCCGCGGUGAAUACGUUCCCGGGUCUUGUACACACC
rnacentral:rRNA from 1 species